rnacentral:lncRNA from 1 species
UGCCCAUCUCUUCUCAAUAAGGCACAGAGUGAGGUAGAGGGUAGCCAGCCAGGUCUCCUGUGGCCCUUUCACUCUUCCUCUCUGCAGGAAUAAUGGGCAAAGAGCAGCUUUGGUGCUGUGAAGACACCUGGCAACUCCAGCCCUGCCCUAAGCCAUAGAGGUGGUGGGAGUUUUCGGGGGGAAAAUCUGGGAGCAACAAGGCUCUUUACUUUUCCCCAUCCCCUCCCCACCAGGGUGUUCUGUGCUCACACUUCAGUCUGUGAAUGUGCUGCGCAAGUAUCUCUUCCUCCUGGACCUGCUCUGGUCUCUGCUGCAUACUCAGGACAUCCUCUUCAUGCUCACCAGCGAAGAAGUGGCACAGGCAAAGGUGAGGAUUACAAAUUCCUGGACACCUUAGUCAGAUCUGGGCCAGGCCUCUUGGCUUCUCAAAAUUCUGCUCUGCAGAGGCAAUUCCCAUAGUCCUUUCACAGCGGCUUAGCAUCUCCCCCUGAGUUUUACUACUAAGCCAGCUAGACCCUGGCAGGCAGAAAUUUUCAAUGACUUUGAACUUUUUUCCUGAUUACAAUAAAACAACAAAGAACCUAAAUUACAUAUACUCCUUAUAGAGAAUCAAGAAAAUAAAAGUAAGAAAUAAAAAUUAUCCACAGUCCCACCACUCAGAAGUAAUCAUCAUUAACAUGUUGGGCUACAUGCUACUAUUAUAUAAUGGGAUCACACUUUGUUUACUGUUUAAAAUCUGCUUUCUUGGGCUGGGGAUGUGGCUCAAGUGGUAGCGCGCUCGCCUGGCCUGCGUGCGGCCCGGGUUCGAUCCUCAGCACCACAUACAAACAAAGAUGUUGUGUCCGCCGAAAACUAAAAAAAUAAAAUAAAUAUUAAAAAAAAAUAAAUAAAAUCUGCUUUCUUUAACAAAAUAUUAUGAAUAUUUUCUCCUAAGUCACUAAGUGUUCCAACUAUAAUGCCUGCCUAUAAUUCGUUUGUAUGGAUAUACCAUAAAUAUGUCAUGAAUUCCUGAUCAUUAGAUAUUUCAGAUUUUCCAGUUUUCCAGUGCUCCUAGCUUGAGUCUAAAAGGAAUUCAGACCUGCCAGGAUCCUCUGUAAAGAGCCAGUGGGGCAGACAGCCGAAAGCCCAUUUGCGAACUGAGGAAGAACCAGACCCACCCAUGCCCUCCUAGUGAAAGUUUAGCUGUCAGUGGGGCAGGUGAUUGUCAGAAUCAUUAGAGAUGAGGAGAUGAGACGAGCUCCAAUUUGUCUCCAGGUGCAAUCUGUAGAAGACUUAAGUCCACCUCAGAGACACAGGUAGCCUUAUUUUCUCAAUAAGCAUUUAUUCCUACUAAAAGGCACUUUGCUAGAUGCUUAGAAUGUAUGUUG